GUGUAAAUAAACAUAAUAACUAGUGUAGCCAGGUGCUUAGUGCCCUAACUGGGUUGGCAAAAAAAAGCAUAGAAUAGUGUGAGAGCCCAUGGGAGGUCCUCUACCUCCAGUGCCCAGCACAUAGUAGGUAUUCAAUAAAUAGCUGAGGAAUAAGGAAACAAUAAAUGCACUCUUUUUUUUUCUUCUAGCCACUUUGCUUGCAGUAGUUAUUUUAGGGGCGUAAUAAAGUAGUAAUUGCUCCGUGACUAUUUGGGCUCAUAAGUUAAUGUUUGCAAAGUGCUUUGAACUUCCUAGGAAAAAGAAUGGUGUUUUUGUUGGCACUGUGUAUUGUUUGCAGUGGCACACAAAUGCCUCCUCCUCCUCCUCUUUUUCCAGCUGCCAGCACUGUGCCCUCCCCCAGCUCCGUGCAGGGCCAGUAUCUCCCACAGGGCACCUCAAGGCCUUUACUGCCUCUCUCCAGCCAGCUCCAGCGCUACAGGAGAGGGACUGGAAUUAGAUGUCAUGUGGAAUAAAGCAGACAUGGCAUUCUGUUAAGAAGAUAGAGCACAUAAGUGAUGGCUACCCAGCUUCAAAGAAAAAACUCAGGAGGCUGUACAUUCAUUUACAGCAGAGUGGAUGAAAUCUCCUAUGCUCUGGCUUGGAAACCAGGAGGAAUCACCAACUGAGAUUUGCCAACCAGAGUUCUAUGGUCAUUCAAAGGAUCUCCUUACAUUUUCAUGAGUACAGUUUUAAAAUCAUUGCAUAGACUACCUCUUAAGACUCAAACAAUCCUGAUGCAUUCACAGAGCAUUUUGUAUAGAUACAUGGACAAGUCCAUGGGAGAAGCUGCCUUUUAAAACCUGUGCACAUACCGACUGCCUCCAAGUGGCCCCAAUACUACUGUGUACCUUCAACCUGGACCCUCUUAGAGAGCCGUUUCUGCCAUAUGCCCAACAUGCUCAAAGUACUCUCCCUAUAUCUAAAUAGAUAAAGAAGCAAAUGGAAUUUUAAAAAUGCAGGUAAUGAUGUUUCUACGUGAUAAGUGCAUCAAAUAAAUGUGUCUACUUUUACAUUUAAAAGAAUGUUGAAAUUAUCUUACUGAGUUAUUUCAUGAAAGACUGAUCUAGAUAAUCUAUUUAAAGCCCUAAUUGAAUUUAUUGGCUUAAUCCCUUGAAUGAUAUUGCAAUCUACCCAUAGCUUCAUGAUUUGAUUGAAUUAAACUUGAAUCAGUCAGAAAAUUGUUUCCUUGCACUUGUACUAAAAAUGGAAUAGAUUUGAUAUACUGCUAUGAUUUAUAUUAGGUUUAAAGUUUUUCUUUGUGCUGUUUUAAAUAUGCAUGUCACAACUCUAAGCUAAUAUUUGGUUUAUAUCACGUUAGGAUUUCUAAUAUAGGGUCAUUAUGAACUUUGUUUCUGUUAUUUCUCUUUCCUGAGCUGCCUAUUUUUCAGGGCCAGUCCUAGUUACAGAUUUUUAGUUUAUCAUUUUCUGAAGAAGGCUGUUACUCUCUGGGGAGUAGUGUUCAUAAUCCCAGUGACCCACACUGAAUGUUUGGGGAAGCUGAGGACAUCUGUCUACCCAGUUCCAUCACUCAAAUAAGGUGGUGCAUAGGACAGAACAGUUUUCACAGUUAGUGGAUCCUUAUCUGUGAGAGUAACCUUACUAAAUUAAAUUUACCUUAUAUAAAUUCAAAGGCACAAUAUUCAAAUAUUGUCUAUGUGACUUUAACCAUCUCCUACAUCAGUCCAGAGAGCCAAAUAAAAACUUCCCAUCCAAAUAAAGGCAAAAGGCCAAAAUAAAACAAAUUAGCAAAGCAAACCAAACCAAAACAAAAUCCUACGAUGUUCCAGGAAGCCAAAUAAAAUCUUCUUGUGCAAAUAAAGGCAAACAGCAAAAAUAAAACAAACAAAAAACUCAACAACUAUCUUAAGAUCAGAAAGGCAUAGAAGAAAUCUCAUUUUUUAAGCAACCAGUUACUCUUCUUCUAUUUCUAACAAUGAUGUAGAAAUUUCAGACAUUGGCUCUGAUGAUGGUUUUCAAACACAUCUUGCUAUUUGCUGGUAAGGAAUUCACAUGUAGCCUUCAGACUUCUCCAGGGCGGACAAGAGCAUCCUUGCUGCAUGUGGAGUCAUUUGGUAAUGAAUAGGGCUAUUUAUAUAGAAUUAAUGUCAUUUCCUUUUUCGCUUUUCCUUUUGAAUUCUUGUUACUUAAAACAAAAUGCAAUAGAUAUAGCUUACUUUAUACCAUGUGCCAUGCAUGGACAAUUCUGUCUCUUUUUUUCCUGCAAAUAUUUGUUUUAGAUAAAUGAACACUGAGGUUUAGAGAGUAUAUUCGUCAGUUCAAGCCACCUAACCAAUACGAUAGCAUAACAAAUACCAUACACUGGGUGGCUUUAAACAAUAGAAAUUUAUUUUCUCACCGUUCUAGAUGCUGAAAUCCAAGAUUUAGGUACUGGCAGAUUGAAUUCCUGGUGAGGGCUCUCUUCCUGGCUUGCAGAAGGUUGCCUUCUUGCUGUGUCCUCACAUGGUGGAGAGAGAGCCCUCUGCCACAUUUUGUUAUGAGGGUACUAAUCCUAUCAGGUCUGAGCCUUAUCCUCAAGACUUCAUUUGACCUUAAAUAAUUAAUUAACCUCCUUAUAGGCCCUAUCUCUAAUAUAGUCACAUGGAAUCUUAGUGCUUUAAUGUGUGAAUUUUAGGGGAACAACUCAGUUCAUAGCCUUUAAAGCAGCAGAGCUAGGAUUUGAAUCUAAGUAGUGUGACACUGGAACCCUGCUGUCAACCCUCUUAUGGCUGCCUGAGAUUUUCAUGAAUGAUUAUAAGGUUAGCUCAGUUUGUUUUGCAAACCUUUCCACCUUUCUUUCAGUGUUCCAUACUUUAAGCAUAUUCCUCUCACCUGACUGUACCAAAUCUCCAUGUUAUAGGCCCUCCGUGCUCAUCUCAUUUGUACUAAAGAUUAAUUCCUUCCAAAGGUAUUUGCAUAUUUAUGAACAAAAUGUCCCAAAUGAGAAGCAUGCCCCACAUAACAAACAUUAGCUUUUAGAAAACAUGGGAGACAAUCCUAGCACUUUGGGAGGCUGAGGCAGGCGGAU